UCAACACACAUCCCCCUGGUCCUCUGCUGCACCUGCUGAGCUGCCAGCAGCCAUUAACAUUCAGCUGAAGCCAGCAGCCUGUUCGGAUCUACCCGAGACGUUUGGCAGUGCAGAUGGCAUGUGCUGUCUACCUCUACCUGUAACAUCUGGCAGCAGUCAAGUAUGAGAAAGCCCAAACGAGAAGGAGGGAGAGAAAUGGGAAGAAGGAAGAAGAAUAAGAAGGCACAUGACUACAUAAAUUGGACUUUGCCAUCUUGGGAACGUCACAUCAUGAAACUGCUUCAGUGUCCAAUGCUUGUGGCAGAUCACCUGAUCAGAACCGCAGGAGAGAAGAUGCUUAAUACAAAAUCAAAUGGGACAAGUUCUGGUCUCAUUUUAUUGUUCUGUAUUCACAGUAACUAUGACAUAGGGGAGGCAUUUGCUACUCGGGGAACAAAAACAUCUUUAUAAUCUCUUUGACUUUUAACCCAGUGUGCAGUUUAUAUAUGAAAUUUUGUCCGUGCUCUUCACGUCUUACAAGAAGCAGUAAGAAACUCGGUACCCUGUGACGGAGGGUAUUGCCCACUGGAUGAUACCUGUCUUCUUAUGCUUCCCAUUCCCCUUCUUUCCCCCAGCAGAUCCAAGUGAUGGGGUAAGUUUAGGCAAGAAGGCUUAUGAAUUUGAAGGGAUGCUACCUGCUUGGGUUUUCCCUACUCAGAUCAUUAUUUUAUGCUUAGGCAAUCAACAUUUCAACAUUUUUGUCUUGAAUAAGGUCAUUUUCCUUGUGCUAGGAUUUUGGAAAUGCCAAACUACAUCUAGCUAUUCUCAGGAAUGUUUAACAACACUCAUUGAAAUAGAGAUUCGUAGCAUCAGUGAAUCACUCCAGUAUAUUUUUGUCAGCAGUCUGUGUUUCUCCCUCAAUAGAUGUUGCUGUAAGAUAUUUCUUUGCACUUGGAAUCCAGCAUAAGUUUAUUGUGCCUGAACUGAAGUUCAAUAUAAAAAUAUGGGAUGGUUAUGUUAUGGAUCUUACUCUUUCAUGUUUGGGGAAAAUAGGUAAAAUAUAUAUAGAAACCUCGAUAUCUUUCAUGUUCCGUAUUGUAAAGAACUCAACAUAAUUGUUUGAUCAAGGAACUCUUAAAAUGAAAUUUGAGUGAAACCCUUUUUGUUCAUAUUCUAAAUUAUAUUCCUAGUCCAAGUAUUUUUGAAAAACUUCAUUAUUAUAUUGGCAUACAUUGUGGCUAAUAGCAACUUCCAAGGGAGAGCUGGGCAUUUAAUACAACUCUCAAAUAUUUUCAAUAGAAAAUGGAGUCACAUGGAAAUGCUAACUAUAUUCCAAAUAAAUAAUUGAAAUUUGCAUAUCAUAAGGAAGUGUCUGCCAUAGAGAGGUUGCUAAUAAUGAGAUUUAUUACACAGGGAAAACAGUUUUAUACGGUGAUUCAAUUAGUUUUGAAAACUUGCAGUACUGUGCCAGUGGUGUUUAUUGCCAUUACUUGCUUUCUAGCCAGCAAAUUCAUUGACUGUGUUCAGGCAAAAGUCAUAAAAUUGGAAUGGAUGACUUUGUAGAGACAAUGUCGAUACAGUCUGGCCCUUAAUUUUCUUGUGCUAGGGGUUAUGCCAUCAUGUCUUCUAGUUUUGGCUCUUUUAAGGCUUGUUCCUCACCAUUUUAAAGUUUUGCCAUUGAAUUCAGUCAAACUGGACUUAGCUGAAAAUUCCUCUGGUAUUCCAUGGAGUUUUAGGAAGUUAUUUAAAUAUAUUCAGAUAGCAUGUCGGUGCAGCUAGAGUUAUUUAUUAAUGGAUCCAUGUCUAUAUGGACAUGAAUCUGGAUCCGUGUGAUAUUUUAAAACUCUGAACUUCAGACCAGAUUCUCAAAGACAGGGAAGUAUCUAAAUCUAAUUGAUUCCCUGUGCAAGGUGAAUACACGCUUCUGAUUAUAUCUCUGUGAAAUAUUUAGGUCCUGCUUUAAAACAGUUCAGUACUAUAACAUUUAGCAUGAGCUGCCAGUGAGACUGUUUGGGCACAGAGUUAGUCAUGAAGCUGAAUGUGCUGCGGAGCUGAGAAUCUAGUGAUCAAGGAACUUCUAAAAGCCGUACUUCAGAUUUUCGCCUGGUUAAGAAAUAUUUUUACCUAAAAUUUACCCUCUAAUUCUCAAAUUCUGAACUUGUGGUUUGCUAGGUCACUGCAAAUGCUCUCCUUCAAAAUUACUCACUCAGAAUAAUGAGACUCUUUAUGUAAAGUGGCCUAUUAUCAUAAAUGGAUAAGGCACAACCUCUUAGGCAAGUAGAGAGGAUUGUAUGAGGAGUAGAUCUCAGUCAUGUACAAUAGCUCCUUCAAAGAUGGGGAAUUUUCUUGAAAAUUAUGAUACUUCAAAAAUUCUCUUUCCUUAAUCUUUGCUAAAAUUACCUGACUUCUGUCAUAAAUCACUUCUUCUAACUACCGAAGGUUAUCUACUUAAAAUGGUAAUGAGCUUUAUGUUUGAAACUUUGCAGGAUUGCUGGUAGGUAAUUCUAGAAGAACAUCUUAAAAGAGACUUUGGAACUUUCUUAAGUGUUACAAAACAGAAUGAGCUAUUUAAAUUAACAAGCAAGCUGUUAGAUUAACAAUUAGUGUAGAGAAAAAAUAUCAUAGUUAGGCAAACUUCAUUAAUAUGCUGCUGUGGAAACAGCUAUUUCAACAAUUUCUUGAUCACUAAAACUCUUCAAAUCCUACCCUCUCUCUCAGUCUAUAAAAACAUGUGAAGUUUUUGGGCGGAGGGAAGAAGAGAGUGGAGGAGGGCAGGGAUGUAAACCUAAAAUACACACAGCUCGAAUUGAAAGAAAAUAAUAAUAAAUUCGUUGAUAAAAUACUUUUUUUCCAUUCAAGUUUCUCAGCCUCUUAAGACUCCAUAGCAAAACACAUCCAGCUAAUCUUGAUUAGCUGUAUCACAGGAUGACAAACAGAUGUGAAGAGGCAAGCUUGAAUUAAAAAUAUAAUCCCAGUAGUUAUCUACUUUGCAAGGCAAAGGAAGGAACGACUAUUACAGAAGCCUGCUGGGUAACAGCACACUAAAAACUUUCCAUCUGCCAAUACAAAAGUUUGGUAAUAUUCUGCUAGAUCUUGAAAAACUCUGUCAGUGAUACUUUACAUGGGUGACAGUGCAAAGUAUGUAGUUUUAAAAAGCUCAUCCAUCAAUCUAAGGUUAUAGACUUUCUGGUAAAUGUGCAAAUGGAAGAUUCUGCUGGAAGUCUGAAGCAAACUUGCUUGUCUUCAGUGAAAUGCGAUGCAGAUUUUAUCUAGUAACAGCACCUGUUCCUAAGAAGAAAGGCUGUCCAGACCAGUAAGGUGAUACUUAUUGGUUUAUAUUAAUUUCAGCUUUCUGCUUUUCCACUGUUCAUUAUGUAGCCCAGGCUCUGCAGAGAGGGAGGAAAAAAAAAAGAAAAAAAGAAUAUAUGUUCAAAUCUUACUGUUUUUUCCUUCAAGAACUUCACAUAUAUAUAGCACUUGUGAAAAUAACUCAGCUUCACUCUAUAUUUAGUAGGAUUUUGUUAUUUUUAUUUGUUCUCUUAACUCAAAAUCGUAUAUCAACUUUUCAUAUGUUUAAUAUUUUGGAACAUGCAGAAAGCUGGCUCAAAGUCUCUUUUCCAGUGAUUCUAAGACCUACACCUUUUGCCUUUCCUCAUAUAUUAUUUAGUUAAGUAUCAUCUUGGUUGCCUAUGUGUGUAAGAAAGCAGGAAAGCUGUGGAAUGCUAAAUAGGUGGAGUAUGUUUCUCAUGCACUGCUAACCAGUCCAGAGAGAGAGAGCAAGAUCAAUUUAUUUACUACAACUGCAAUGACACUACAAGUAAUACUACUAUCAUUGACCCAAACCCAUCAACCAUUAACUCAGUUUUACCAAUGGAAAAAAAUGAAUCGUUUCACAUAAAAAAUUUCCAAUCUGUGGAAUUCACUACAACAACAGCCCAGCCUCCACCUGUCAGAUCCCCACUCCCUGCCCUCCCAGACAAUAACCGCCAAAUAACAAAACAACAGUUACUAGCAAAACUGAGAGUUUGGCAGGGUAUGUUACAACCAGAUCACUUUUUCAGGUCAUAUGCUCUUGUUUGCAGAGUUUGCGAAGGAAUGUUUUCUUGUGCAGAGUACAGCAAAUGUGUUUUAGUGUGCUAAUUCUAUUUAGUUUAAAGAAGUAGGCUUUUGGUGGUCUGAGAGUGCAUGUGUGGAUUUCUUUGCUAUAAAGUAGAACCUAUUGGCUUGAUGUUUGUGUAACUGAGUAUAUCGGCUUGCAGUGAAUCUCUGAUUCUUCAUCAGGGGAAGAUUAUGUUGGGCUAGUUACGUCCACUUUCUCAGUGAGAGGUUUCCCAAGGUUCUGCUUAGUCUUUUGUGGCGGUGAAAAUCCUUGUGGUCUAUUAUACAAUUAUCCUUGAAAGAAUACUAUACCUUUCACUCCUAGAAAUAAGCAAUCUGCUCUCUGUAGCAUUCACCAUUACAAGGAGUCAUUUAUUACAACAGAACUUUGUCAUUCAAUUAUGCUUUUAUAUAGAACACAUGGUCAAAAAUCUCAAUCACAAAUGUCUGAAGUUGGUUAAAGAAGUUGGCGGUGUUGAGAACUUGAGAGAUGCUGGUCCUGCGCGGAGGUGCCCGAGCAUGAACCAGUGUGCCCGAGCAGAGCAGUGCCCAUCAGAGAGGACAACAUUUGCAGACUUCUGAUCCUUUUGCUUUACCGCUUUUCAGGUUAUGAGCAUUCUCCUAAGGCAUAUGAAAUAUUUCUUUUCUAAGGUAUUGUUCUCAGCAUGCACUGAACUGAUAAAAGUGAAAAAUAUUUAGCUAAAGCUUUAAUUACUUUAGCCUACUUACUAUGUUCAACACCUUGCUGUGUGCCUCAUUUUGACUUCUUUUGAUCCACAUUUUCAUGAGAAAAAAAUGAUUAUAGGUAUUACAGGUAGAGGACUGAUUAACAGUAAGAGAGUUGUGGCAUAGUAGAAAACCUGUCAAAUUCAUAACCUAGUUGUUUUUAUGAGAUACGUUUUGUUAUGCUAUGUAGAAAAAGAUUUAAAUAACGGAUCAUUUCUUUCCCCAAAUAGGUCACCUUUCUGUUAGAGUUAACUGCUGCUAGUAGCGAUAAUUUACCUGCUUUAUGCCUUAGACAGGAAUUCAGUUGAAAGGAAUUCCUUGCAUUUCAGUAUGCAGUAAAUGAUGCUCGUUAGGGAUAAAUCAAGGUUUUCACUUAGCAUAUCAUAAAGCUGACUGAACUUGUAUAGGGUUUGGCUUUUGUUGAACCUUAUGAAAUCUACGAGCCAGAAGCUAUUUGUUCCCAUAGCUAGCCCAUUUCUUUCUUACCCCACAGAGAGAUUAGAAGAAUAUCAUAAAGCAAUGGUGAUAUAGGAAAGGUAACUGAAUCUGUCCUGCUCAUUCCCAGAGGCUCAGAAGGUGGAAUGGGAGCUUCAGUGGCGGGAAGUUACUCUUAGAGAACGGAGUGACCCUGGAAAGAUAGAGCAAAACCUCAAAAACGGCCUAACUCAGGAAGGAAGCUUUGAACUUCAAGUCUCCUUUUAAGCCAACUGCUACUGGUUGCAGAGAGCGGAUAUUCUCCCAGCUUAUGUUACUUCCCUCUUCAAAUCAAUACAGAAUGUAUCUUACACCUUGCCCUUUUCUGCAGGCACUGCUGUGGGGUCAGAGGUUGGCUAGUGUAUGCGAUGGUCUGCUACACCGUACUGUACCAUAGAGACAAAUCUCAAACCAGCAGUAUAAAAAGUGCACAAUCAGGAUAUGUAUUAGAAAAAGAUUUUCAUCUUGCCUCCUAUUCCAGCAACUUGGAUUAGGGUUUAUUUGUGUAUAUAGCAGGAAUAAUAUAUACCCAGAUGAAGUGUUGACCUUUCAGUGCAACUGCUGGGUCAACACAAUAUUAUUAAGUCUUUUUUCCCUGCAACAUAUAGACAUGGCCCUAUUUUAUGUAAUUGUCCCUAUUUUCUAAAAUGCAAGUUACUUCUUCUGUCUGUCAUUGUCUCUUGUAAGACUCCCCUCAUUCUAAUUGCAUGUCAUGCCUUUCCUUUUGUGCUGAGAAAAUGUACUCCAUUAACUGUCUGACUCAUUCAACAGUUACUAGUUUUUGGUGUUUCUGUGAUGUUGAUACAACAGUUGUUUCUUCAGUAACUGCUUGAGUCCUGGAAUGCUAUAGGUUGGCAGUGUUUGAGCAGAUCAAUUCUUGUAUACAGUUGUUGGUUAUUCUUUUCAGAGAGGAACAAAAAGUCAUAUAAAGUGGUGAAGUUUUCAAAUUUUCGGCAUGGGACUGAACUGGGAACAGGGCCCUGCAACUCCUUCCCAAAGAUCCUGUUUGAAUCUGGCAGCAAAAGAGCAUCGUUAGAGAGCAGCAGUGAAAGUGUGACAGCACCGUGGGCAAGCUACCAAGUGCAUGCAAAGGUCAGCUAGCGGGUGAAAGGGGAGUGCAAGAAUUAAAUGAAAAGAGGAAAAUGCCAGGGUUGUGCUGACGUUUUCAUUAAGUAAAUCACUGAAUACAUGUAACAACUCUGACAUUUACUUAUGCAGUGGUAGAAAUCACUGCAUUGUGCGUACUGCAUGUUUUCCUGUUCAGUCAGCUUAUUGUAGAGCUGUGAUAAAGAGGAGUGUAAUCAUUUCACAAUACCAGUGAUACAAAAUUGUUCUUCAGCUCAACUCUUUCUCCAUUAUAUGAAAUAUAUUAUAGCUGUCCACGUAAGUCAAUAUCUUUCAUUAUGCCUCCUUCCACCUCUAUGCAUAUCAUAGCUGUAAUCAUCCCUUUAAAAUUAUUUCUGAUGUUGCUCCUUUCUAUACAAAUUAUCCACCUUUCCUCUAUCUUUAUCUUGAACAGGUGUGUUCACUAAAUUACUUCAGCUCUGCAUCGUACAUCGUAAAGUCUGUUUUCGGUUCUACAGCUAGAAAAUUUUACGGUGAUAUCCCUUAAUGAAAGGAGUCAUUGAUCGGGUCUGAAUGACUGGUGAAACCUUCACAGAGCAGAGUGUGGUGCUUUUUAGCAUCCAGCAGCUUAAUAUGCAUAUGGAAGAACUGAAUCUGCAUUGGACUCAUCAAAGUUGCAUCACUUUGGCAAUACCAAGUUGUCAUAAAAGGGUAAAACAGCCUUUGGAAAUACUCCCCACUUCGGAGGUGUCGUGGGGUUACGGAGAGGUCCAGAAUGGUCAAUUAGCUGGCUCUUCUGGAUGGGUGGAUUGCUCCUAAGGGAUCCUCACAGCCAGAAAAUGGACUGGAGUAGCUUGAAACCUUCUCUAAUUGAUGCUGGGAGUGCAACAGGUUCACAGCCGACCUGAGAACCCAGGGAAUGCAAAGGUGCUCCAGAGCACUUGGUAGUAAAUUUUGCCCCCCUGGAAUUCCAUAGCAAAAUUCACACUGACUUUGAGGGUGGCAGAAUGGGAGGCCAGAUUUAAUGCUUGGCAUUUAGUCUUCUUGGAAGAUACUUGCAGUGCUGAGCCAGCAACCCUUGGGGUAUGACAUAUGGCCUGUUUAUUUCAAUUUCGUAUUCAUCAAGUUUCAUUCCUUCUGCUAUUUCUUUGUCUCUAAUGGAAUGUCCAUUUGCACUAAGAACAGUAUUAGAAUCCUAAUGUCCAUCCAAAGACACAAAAAUGUGCUUCAGACAUUGAUCGACUGUGUUUUACAACAGACUGAUGAGGUGUGGCAUAAUAUUCCCAUUUCACAGACUGGCCAAAAAGGGCACAGGAGGGACAUGGGUGCCACAGCGCGAAUCUUUGGUUGUCCUUCUGCUGGGUGAAAUUAUCAUUGCAAGGGAAAGUGGAGUCGAAUGGAUAUGUUCAGUGAAAGGAGAGCUCUGAUCACAUAACAUUUUCUGUGCUUCUCCUUGCUGUUCAGAUGGCUCUGCGCACUCUGUGAAUAAUCCACCUCCGCCUCAGAGCACCACCGGCAAAGCUGAGGGAGGUGGUGGUCUCGCAAAUCCUGCUUGGCUGCUGGCACAAGGGGGUGGUAGCAAGCACUUGGGCAAAAGUAGUAUCUUAAAUUGUUCCAGCUGUUUCUACAGGCAUGUCUGUAAGCAUCUGAGAAAGUCACAGGAGGAGGUACUAGUAGUUGAAAAUGCUCUGGAAGGGAGCAAAGGGAACCCUUGCUGCGUGCAGCCUUCUCACUCGGUGCUCAGAUGCAGUAGGUUGGCUGCUUUCUGUGCAGAGCCAAGAAACUGGAAGUGUCAGAGCAUAUCUACACUUUUAGUUAAAUCAGCUCUCUAGUUUGCUCUUGGGACCUGGCUUCCUGAUCAUCCACAAUGCAUACGUGGUAGUUUACUUACAGGCUUUCUUCUGGAGUGCGCCAGCCAGUUCUUUUUAAAAUAAAACCUGGAUGUGGAUCUGUGGGUAGCUCACUCCAGGGAGGGCUCCCUUCCAGACCUCUGUAUCAGACCGUGGGACAUUUGUUUGCACAGUCCUCCCACACUGUCUCAGCAAACCUUGCACCCUGAAAUACCUCCGUGUGUCACAUGCUAUGCCCAGCGCACACACUGUAGACUCUUGGCAUGCUGUUUUAAAAUACCGUUCUGGCAGGUUGUAUUAAGGUCGUCAUUUUGUGUAUUUUGAACAGCAAAAGCAAACCCUUCAACAAAAGAAAUGUACUUUGGGGCAGCUACUGAAGCAACAAAUAGUGCUAGAGGGAUCUAGGCCAAGUGCAGCACAGUGUGCACUGCAAUGCACUUUGGACGCAAUUGGUCCUUUACUGAUGGAGUGAAACCCCAAGGAAAUAGAGAUGCAAGCUCACUGUACCAGGUGGUCUGGAGCUAGAGGAGAAUUUCUUUAGUAGUGUAGAUGUAGUCUUUAUCUUCUUAUAAAUGUUACCAAGCGAGGCCAAGGUCAUCAAAAAGGUCCGUUUGGGGGUUGACAAUAGAUAGAAGAGUUUCUGAGUUCUAGUCACAAAACUAUUCUUUCCUUUUUCUGAAUUAGAGUUGAGAUGUUUCCUUUCAUGACAUCAAUUUAGUGUACCUCCAGGAAAAAAUAAGACGAUAUAGCAAAGGAAAAGGUCUUAAUACUUUAUAAAUGAUAAAAUAAAUGAAGAACAUGGAAGAAAAGUUCCAUAUUUUGGACUUUAUUCUUCAGAAAAAGUUCAGGUCCAUGCUGAUAAUUUACUGAAUCUGAUAUUUCUGAUAAAAAGAUCACAGAAUGAAUAAAUGAAUAUUCAUCUCAAUGCAGGGUGGGCUCAGCAGGUGCUUUUAAAGGGGCAUAGCUCAAUUCUGUGAGCUACAGUUGAGCCCAGGGAGGGAUUUCCAACUUACUCCACUGGUGUGUGCUCCUGUGGGCAGGGCCCCUCCAUUAGUACUGGAAUAUAUUCCAUGUAGUGGGAAAGGAAAUAGCAUCAUAAAUCAGACCUGCUGUCACUGUAGUGGAAAGGAGAUCUAUCACAAGAACAUUCUCUGCUGACCACUGUCAGUGGGAUUGUUUCCUUUGUUAUGCUAUGCAGUAAAACAGUAAUAGCUUGAUAAUAAUGAAUUGUAUACCUCUUAAGAAACUAUAUUUGAAAACAGACACAUUUACUGUAUUUGCAAAUGUGAUAAAUCGAAGCUAAAUACUUGACUGAGGCAUCAGACGUAUUCCAGGAUUUAUUUCUACCAGUCUUACUGCUCCAGGGAUUUUUUUUUUAGAGUCUUUCCUUUGUUUCUAUUGCUCCCUAGUUGAAAUGUCUUCUGUUUCAUUUGCUUUUCUGUUUUCAACAGUUCCUGUGACAAUGUCACAUAGUCAUUUCUGUUAAAUCAUAAUUGUUAUCUUGAGCUUGUUAGGUGUUUAGCAAAUGCUUGAACAUUUCUUGUAUAACCCAGCAAACUUAACAAUAGAGUGUGAAAAACUGAACAAUGCAUAUAUUCUUGUUUCUAUAUGGCUUGAAAAAACAUGCUGCAACUAUCCAUUUUCAGUUAAAACAUGAAUACCUAGAAAAAAAGCUGAAUUUACUAUUGAUAAUAUAACCAAAUGGGAAUGAACGCAGUACGUAUAAUAUACUUUUGUAAAGCUAGAUGCCUGUUACAAUAUCUGCAGUAUUUUUGCACUUACGGCAUUUUUGUUACAAAAAGUAAUUUCAUUUGUAAUAAUUCAGGUACAUGAGUUGCAGCUAGUAUGUCUGUGUACAUUUUUGUAUUAUGUUUUUAUAAUAAGCCUAUCAUCAAAAUAUCAAAAUGCCCAAAGUAUUGAAAUAAUCAUUCUAACUGAUUCAGGAAAGUCCUGCUGAUGGUGGCUAGGUACCGUGGUUAGCAUCAUAUUAUAAAUGAGUAAGAACAAGGCAGACAGGUAAUUUAUGGAGGCAGAAGAUCUCAGUGUGACAAAAUGCCUACUGCAGAUGGCAGGAAGGCUUUGAAGAAAUUCUGGUUGGUGCUGAGAGAGGCUAAGUUGCAUCUUGAAGUGAUAAUAAUAAAUAAUAUCCAUCCUUUAGUAAGUUUUAAUUAUGGGCAAUUUAAAAUGAUUUGUUUAGCCAAGGUCAUACUUGUAAUAUGUGAAGCAAAAUGUUAAAAUGGAGAAGCUUUAUACCAGGGCUAAGCUUGUUUUGUUUCAGAAAUGGAUUUCUUUUCUAAGGCUGUCAAACAAUAGGAAAUAAUCACCCAGUACUAAUUACCACAAAAAAAUGAAAUAACCCUGCAUUAAAGUGUUGUAUUAUCUGGUAGAUCUCGUCCCUAAACAGAUAAAACAGUUAGGGUGAUGCUUGAAACAAAGUUACUGUCCAGAUUGUGCAGUACACUGUCUGAUUUCCCUGAGCUUUUUAAAGAGAUGUAUCUCUCUGGUAUAGAUCCCCGUGGUCUACUUACAAAGAAAUUUCAUUGCCAUGCUGUGCGGUCCUCAUGGUGCUGAAAGUAAAAUAUUGGAUUGACAGGCACUCGUUCUGGAGGAGGGCUUAUUGAUGAUGGAAAGACUGAUUCAAUCUCUAAUCCUGAAGAACGACCUGCCACCUGGAGUGAUAGUAUACAGAUGGGUGCAAUCUAAACUCUCUUUCCGCCUCAAGUUGCAUUUGGCUGUAGAUUAACAAUGUGAUUCCAUAUAAUGAAGAUGGUUGUUUGGUGCAGUGGCAAUUUUCCAUUACUGACAUGCAAUGUCAACAGUUCUGACAAAGCUAUAAGGACAAUGUUUAAAUGUGCUACAUCUGGCUGGGACUGUUGCCAGGUUAUUAACAGCCCCAUUAAAAUUACCUGCAGUGAACUGCUUUGGUAGGAGGGAAUAUAGAGUACUGUUUCCCCUGCAACUAGCUACUCAGACAUAAUAACAGUCCAGUAGCACACACUCGUAAUAAUACAGUGUUAUGGUAGCGGUAGCAGAAUUUUUACAGUGUUAUUUUGAUGAGGGAAUAUUUUAUAGCUUUAAUCGUAUUGAAUGUAAUUCUCCAGGCUCUACUCAGGCAAAUAUCCCAUUGAAGUCAAUGACAAUUUCACCUUAGGAUGGAGCUACAUCAGUAGGAUAUGGUUUUAUUAAUGAUAUUUCUAAUAAAAAUACUCUGAUGGCAAACAUGUAAAUAUAUAUGUAUAUGUGAAUAGAUAUAUAAAGUUAGAUAUGAAUGUCU